rnacentral:sRNA from 1 species
CGGACUCCGGGCAGGGAAAUGGGGCAGGCAGUGACGCGCCGCCUGGGAGCUGGAGCCCGCGCAGCGCCCCGCAGGGCGAUGGACGGCCGAACCCCGCGCCCGCAGGACGCCCCAGCAGGGAGAAAACCAAAAGCCAAGGCACCACUUCCUCCAGCUGAGACCAAAUACACUGGUGUCUCUUCAGCUGCUGAUUGUAUAGAAUCCACUGCUUUCAUCAUGGAACAGAAAGAAAACAUGAUAGAUAAAGACGUUGAACUCUCAGUGGUCCUACCUGGGGAUAUUAUCAAAUCUACUACUGUUCAUGGCAGGUACGCUGGAGUGAAUGAAAUAUCAGGACCUCCCCUUCUUAUUCCACUAUUGAAAGUCUCUGUCAUAUACGUCUUGAUGUUUGUUCUUUGACAAAACACUUAUCACUCAGUUUAGUUAUCUGUUAAAAAAAAGAGUGCUAAAAUGGUGUUAAAAAUUUUCUAUCAAUGUUUUAAUCCCAGUGCUAUGAAUUCCACAAACCCAAUUAAAUGACUCUUGAAAUUUGGAA